GAGUUGGUGAAAUAAUGGCAGAGAGCAUUACUCAGGAUGGACCUUUUUCAUGGAGUGGAUUUACAAUUUCAUUUCUUCCGGGAGAUUAAUAAAGAUGAGCUGACAUAACAGAUGCAGACCUGCUAGAUCUGAUUGACAAGAUUGAGACUGCAGACACUACAGCCUUGCUUGAGCUUUCUGAAAGAAUCGUAGCAUGUGGUACACAGGAUCCUAACAUGUGAUGAAAGGAAGACAUUGUCAGCUUUUUACAGGUUUUCCAUUGUCAUGAGAAAUAAUGAAAUAUCUGAUGUCCCUGUCACUGUUUUAAGUGCGGUGGGUUCAGUGAAGCGCAGAGAGAAUCACGGAUUGUGAACUACUUGCAGGACUUCAUUCAAAGCCUUGAAGAUGAAGGAACAUCAUUACUCUUACUCUUAAUACUUAAAUUACAUCAGUUCAACAACGGACCGGGCAUCUGACCAGUCAGAGCAGAGAGGGCUUGUGGAAAAGACUGAAGAUUUGGAUCACUUCACACUUUUGAAUAGAAACUUGUUGUAGGAAACCUCUUAAACAAUUGUAAAACAGUAUAUUAGGGGCACUUUAAAAAUGUGAGGUAUUGUCAGUCCAAGUUCAGAGACUGUUAACACAAGUAAGGUUGCAGACAUAGAUGUGUGUGUUUUCUGCAGAAGAAGGGAGCAGCAGUAAGGAGAGCAGGGUUGAAGAUGACAGCGAACAGGUGAUAAAACAAACUGCACUAAAGGAGAUGCAGAACAAGACAAGAUCACCGUCAGCAGUUUCAUGCAGUGGAUUACUGGUCAGGGACAUGUCUCCAUUACUUCUGCACAUUUGAUCCUGACUGUCAGCUUCGAUAUGGUCAGCAUAGUUUCUGCUUGCCUCUAGUAAAUGCAUGUUCCUGUACUGUAACCUACACAGCAGCGAGAGACAAACACAGAGUUCCUCAGUCCCACUUUACAUGUCCCUAAACCGACCUGUCUCUACCCCUGGAUCUAGAUCCAUCUCCUCCAACUUUAAAUAUGUCUUAACCGAGCGUCUCUGCUCGCUGGAUCUUGUGUGUUCUGCAGUGAGGGCUACUGACUAAGACAGCAUUACCAUUCCUCGUAUCUCUCAGAUCGCUCAUUAUUUGUGUGCAUCACUCCAAUCUGCCACAGCUGCUCGGGACUUCGAUUGUCCUCUGAGGAGAGUGAAUGAUGAUUCCAGGCUUCUGAACAUGUGUCCAAGUCUGCCUGAAGUCUUGGGAGAAAAGUGUAGUGCACACUGAAAAGCUCCUCAAUCACUGAUCUGUCGAGCAAUCCUUCUGCUCCAGCGAGUGCAGCGUGUCUGAGGACUUGUUGGUGACCGUGAUUCUGACAUCACCCCAGAGACGCUCAAUCCUGUUAGAAACAAUACAAAUUGAAAUCCAAAAAAAAA